rnacentral:rRNA from 1 species
AGGAAAGCGGAAUACAUAGUGUAGAGGUGAAAUUCGUAGAUAUUAUGUAGAACACCAGUUGCGAAGGCGGCUUUCUGGGAUAACACUGACGCUGAGGUGCGAAAGUAUGGGUAGCGAAGAGGAUUAGAUACCCUCGUAGUCCAUACCGUAAACGAUGAUUGUUAGAUGUUGGGAAUUUAUUUUCAGUAUCACAGCUAACGCGUUAAACAAUCCGCCUGGGGAGUACGACCGCAGGUUAAAACUCAAAUGAAUUGACGGGGACCCGCACAGCGUGGAGCAUGUGGUUAAUU